AUACGUAGGGGGCGAGCGUUGUCCGGACUGAUUGGGCGUAAAGGGCGCGUAGGCGGCCCGGUAAGUCUGGAGUGAAAGUCCUGUUUUUAAGAUGGGAAUUGCUUUGGAUACUGUCGGGCUUGAGUGCAGGAGAGGUAAGUGGAAUUCCCAGUGUAGCGGUGAAAUGCGUAGAGAUUGGGAGGAACACCAGUGGCGAAGGCGACUUACUGGACUGUAACUGACGCUGAGGCGCGAAAGUGUGGGGAGCAAACAGGAUUAGAUACCCUGGUAGUCCACACUGUAAACGAUGAAUGCUAGGUGUAGGGGGUAUCGACCCCUUCUGUGCCGCAGUCAACACAAUAAGCAUUCCGCCUGGGGAGUACGGCCGCAAGGUUGAAACUCAAAUGAAUUGACGGGG
rnacentral:rRNA from 1 species